CCUACGGGAGGCAGCAGUGGGGAAUAUUGGACAAUGGGGGCAACCCUGAUCCAGCCAUGCCGCGUGUGUGAAGAAGGCCCUCGGGUUGUAAAGCACUUUCAGUGAGGAAGAACGCCUGGUGGUUAAUACCCAUCAGGAAAGACAUCACUCACAGAAGAAGCACCGGCUAACUCCGUGCCAGCAGCCGCGGUAAUACGGAGGGUGCGAGCGUUAAUCGUAAUUACUGGGCGUAAAGCGCGCGUAGGUGGCUUGAUAAGCCGGUUGUGAAAGCCCCGGGCUCAACCUGGGAACGGCAUCCGGAACUGUCAAGCUAGAGUGCAGGAGAGGAAGGUAGAAUUCCCGGUGUAGCGGUGAAAUGCGUAGAGAUCGGGAGGAAUACCAGUGGCGAAGGCGGCCUUCUGGACUGACACUGACACUGAGGUGCGAAAGCGUGGGUAGCAAACAGGAUUAGAUACCCUAGUAGUC
rnacentral:rRNA from 1 species